GACGAACGCUGGCGGCGUGCUUAACACAUGCAAGUCGAACGGAAAGGCCCUGCUUUUGUGGGGUGCUCGAGUGGCGAACGGGUGAGUAACACGUGAGUAACCUGCCCUUGACUUUGGGAUAACUUCAGGAAACUGGGGCUAAUACCGGAUAGGAGCUCCUGCUGCAUGGUGGGGGUUGGAAAGUUUCGGCGGUUGGGGAUGGACUCGCGGCUUAUCAGCUUGUUGGUGGGGUAGUGGCUUACCAAGGCUUUGACGGGUAGCCGGCCUGAGGGGGUGACCGGCAAAAUUGGGACUGGGAUACGGCCCAGACUCCGCGGGGGGGCAGCGGGGGGGAAUAUUGCAAAGUGGGCGGAAGCCUGAGGCAGCAACGCCGCGUGCGGGAUGACGGCCUUGGGGUUGAAACCCGCUUUCGCCGGGGACGAAGGGUGGGGGAGGGUAAUGGGUAAAGAAGCACCGGAUAACUACGUG
rnacentral:rRNA from 1 species